UACGUAGGGUGCAAGCGUUGUCCGGAAUUAUUGGGCGUAAAGAGCUCGUAGGCGGUUUGUCGCGUCUGCUGUGAAAAUCCAGGGCUUAACCCCGGACUUGCAGUGGGUACGGGCAGACUAGAGUGUGGUAGGGGAGACUGGAAUUCCUGGUGUAGCGGUGAAAUGCGCAGAUAUCAGGAGGAACACCGAUGGCGAAGGCAGGUCUCUGGGCCACUACUGACGCUGAGAAGCGAAAGCAUGGGGAGCGAACAGG
rnacentral:rRNA from 1 species